rnacentral:rRNA from 1 species
ACUCCUACGGGAGGCAGCAGUGGGGAAUCUUGCACAAUGGGCGAAAGCCUGAUGCAGCCAUGCCGCGUGAAUGAUGAAGGCCUUAGGGUUGUAAAAUUCUUUCGCUAGGGAUGAUAAUGACAGUACCUAGUAAAGAAGCCCCGGCUAACUUCGUGCCAGCAGCCGCGGUAAUACGAAGGGGGCUAGCGUUGUUCGGAAUUACUGGGCGUAAAGCGCACGUAGGCGGACUUUUAAGUCAGAUGUGAAAUCCCGGGGCUCAACCUCGGAACUGCAUUUGAAACUGGAAGUCUGGAGUUCGGGAGAGGUUAGCGGAAUACCGAGUGUAGAGGUGAAAUUCGUAGAUAUUCGGUGGAACACCAGUGGCGAAGGCGGCUAACUGGACUGAUACUGACGCUGAGGUGCGAAAGUGUGGGGAGCAAACAGGAUUAGAUACCCUGGUAGUC